rnacentral:rRNA from 1 species
AAGACCUAGCAAUAGGUAUGCUUAGGGAGGAGCUUGCGUCACAUUAGUUAGUUGGUGGGGUAAAGGCCUACCAAGACUAUGAUGUGUAGCCGGGCUGAGAGGUUGAACGGCCACAUUGGGACUGAGACACGGCCCAAACUCCUACGGGAGGCAGCAGUAGGGAAUUUUCGGCAAUGGAGGAAACUCUGACCGAGCAACGCCGCGUGAACGAUGAAGUAUUUCGGUACGUAAAGUUCUUUUAUUAGGGAAGAAUAAAUGAUGGAAAAAUCAUUCUGACGGUACCUAAUGAAUAAGCCCCGGCUAACUAUGUGCCAGCAGCCGCGGUAAUACAUAGGGGGCAAGCGUUAUCCGGAAUUAUUGGGCGUAAAGGGUGCGUAGGCGGUUAAAUAAGUUUAUGGUCUAAGUGCAAUGCUCAACAUUGUGAUGCUAUAAAAACUGUUUAGCUAGAGUAAGAUAGAGGCAAGUGGAAUUCCAUGUGUAGUGGUAAAAUGCGUAAAUAUAUGGAGGAACACCAGUAGCGAAGGCGGCUUGCUGGGUCUUUACUGACGCUGAGGCACGAAAGCGUGGGGAGCAAACAGGAUUAGAUACCCUGGUAGUCCACGCCGUAAACGAUGAGUACUAAACGUUGGGUAAAACCAGUGUUGAAGUUAACACAUUAAGUACUCCGCCUGAGUAGUACGUACGCAAGUAUGAAACUUAAAGGAAUUGACGGGACUCCGCACAAGCGGUGGAUCAUGUUGUUUAAUUCGAAGGUACCCGAAAAACCUCACCAGGUCUUGACAUGCUUCUGCAAAGCUGUAGAAACACAGUGGAGGUUAUCAGUUGCACAGGUGGUGCAUGGUUGUCGUCAGCUCGUGUCGUGAGAUGUUGGGUUAAGUCCCGCAACGAGCGCAACCCUUAUUGUUAGUUACCAGCACGUAAUGGUGGGGACUUUAGCAAGACUGCCAGUGAUAAAUUGGAGGAAGGUGGGGACGACGUCAAAUCAUCAUGCCCCUUAUGACCUGGGCUACAAACGUGAUACAAUGGCUGUUACAAAGGGUAGCUGAAGCGCAAGUUUUUGGCGAAUCUCAAAAAAACAGUCUCAGUUCGGAUUGAAGUCUGCAACUCGACUUCAUGAAGUUGGAAUCGCUAGUAAUCGCGAAUCAGCAUGU